GUGCCAGCAGCCGCGGUAAACCGGCAGCUCGAGUGGUCGUCGCUUUUAUUGGGCCUAAAACGUCCGUAGCCUGUUUGGUAAAUCUGUGGGUAAAUCAACGAGCUUAACUCGUUGUAUUCUGCAGAGACUGCCAGACUAGGGACCGGGAGAGGUAUGAGGUACUCUGGGGGUAGGGGUAAAAUCCUGUCAUCCUCAGAGGACCACCUGUUGCGAAGGCGUCAUACUGGAACGGAUCCGACGGUCAGGGACGAAGCCUAGGGGCACGAACCGGAUUAGAUACCCGGGUAGUCCUAGGUGUAAACGCUGUGGAUUUGGUGUGUGGGGUCCGCAAUGGGCCCCAUGUGCCGGAGUGAAGAUGUUAAAUCCACUGCCUGGGGAGUACGGUCGCAAGGCUGAAACUUAAAGGAAUUGGCGGGGGAGCACUGCAACGGGAGGAGCGUGCGGUUUAAUCGGAUUCAACGCCGGAAAACUCACCAAGGCCGACUGUUAGAUGAAGAUCAGCGUAACGAGCUUAUCGGAUUAUCAGAGAGGUGGUGCAUGGCCGUCGUCAGUUCGUACUGUAAAGCGUUCUGUUAAGUCAGAUAACGAACGAGACCCGCAUCCCUAUUUGCGACCCUCAUGUCCGCAUGAGGCGCACCAUAGGGAGAUCGCUGGUGUGAAACCAGAUGAGAGCGCGGGCAACGACAGGUCAGUAUGAUCCGAAUGUCAUGGGCUACACGCGCAAUACAAAGGACGGAACAAUGGGCUGCUACUCCGAGAGGAAGAAGCUAUCCCGAAACCCGUUCGUAGUUCGGAUUGGGGGCUGUAACCCGCCCCCAUGAAGCUGGAUUAGGUAGUAAUCGCGUCUCAACAAGGCGCGGUGAAUAUGCCCCUGCUCCUUGCACACACCGCCC
rnacentral:rRNA from 1 species